GACGAACGCUGGCGGCGUGCCUAACACAUGCAAGUCGAACGGAGAUUUUAGCAAUAAAAUCUUAGUGGCGAACGGGUGAGUAACGCGUAGACAACCUGCCUUCUAGAUGGGGACAACACUGCGAAAGUGGUUCUAAUACCGAAUGUUGUAAUUGGAAUGCAUGUUCUGAUUACUAAAGGUGGCAUCUAUUUAUAAGCUAAGCUUAGGGAUGGGGCUGCGGUCCAUUAGGUAGUGGGUGAGGUAACGGCCCACCAAGCCUGCGAUGGAAAGCCGGACUGAGAGGUUGACCGGCCACAAUGGAACUGAGACACGGUUCAUACUCCUACGGGAGGCAGCAGUAGGGAAUAUUCCGCAAUGGGCGAAAGCCUGACGGAGCGACGCCGCGUGAAUGAUGAAGUCUUUUGGGAUGUAAAGUUCGAUCGACCGGGGAAGAAUGGUUUGCAUACUAAUAAUAUGCGAGCAGAGACGGUACCCGGAAUGAAGCCACGGCUAAUUACGUGCCAGCAGCCGCCGUAACAC
rnacentral:rRNA from 1 species